rnacentral:rRNA from 1 species
CCUGGUGGUCGGAGCGCAGUGGUCCCACCCGUUCCCAUCCCGAACACGGAAGUGAAACGCUGCAGCGUCGACGAUACUGCUGCCUUGCGGCAGUGGGAAAAUAGAUCACUGCCAGGG